rnacentral:rRNA from 1 species
GACGAACGCUGGCGGCGUGCUUAACACAUGCAAGUCGAACGGAAAGGCCCUGCUUGCAGGGUACUCGAGUGGCGAACGGGUGAGUAACACGUGGGUGAUCUGCCCUGCACUUCGGGAUAAGCUUGGGAAACUGGGUCUAAUACCGGAUAGGAGCCAUCUUUAGUGUGGUGGUUGGAAAGUUUUUUCGGUGUAGGAUGAGCUCGCGGCCUAUCAGCUUGUUGGUGGGGUAAUGGCCUACCAAGGCGGCGACGGGUAGCCGGCCUGAGAGGGUGUACGGCCACAUUGGGACAGAGAUACGGCCCAGACUCCUACGGGAGGCAGCAGUGGGGAAUAUUGCGCAAUGGGCGCGAGCCUGAUGCAGCGACGCCGCGUGGGGGAUGAAGGCCUUCGGGUUGUAAACUCCUUUCGCUAGGGACGAAGCUUUUUUGUGACGGUACCUAGAUAAGAAGCACCGGCUAACUACGUG